rnacentral:rRNA from 1 species
CAGUCGCCGCGGGAAUACAGAGGGUGCAAGCGUUAAUCGGAAUUACUGGGCGUAAAGCGCGCGUAGGUGGUUCGCCAAGUUGGAUGUGAAAUCCCCGGGCUCAACCUGGGAACUGCAUCCAAAACUGGCAAGCUAGAGUAUGGUAGAGGGUGGUGGAAUUUCCUGUGUAGCGGUGAAAUGCGUAGAUAUAGGAAGGAACAUCAGUGGCGAAGGCGACCACCUGGACUGAUACUGACACUGAGGUGCGAAAGCGUGGGGAGCAAACAGGAUUAGAUACCCCAGUAGUCCCUGUCUCUUAUAC